UAACAAAUAUCAAACCUAACAAAAAUCGACACUAACUAACAAAAAUCAGCAAUAACAAAAUAGAAAUUCGAACAUUUUGAACAAAGCAGCAACAAGAUCUAGAGACAGAUGACUGAUGAGGUUGCGGCGAGUAGAGAGGCAGCGACGAAUGGCCACGGACAGAGGCAGUCAGGCAGACGAACGAUUGGCCGCAGCGAGCGAUUUCGUGAGCGAGCAGACGAGCGAUUGUCGUAGAGAGACGACCGCACGUUUGUCUUGAUUCAUGAAUCUGAUUAUGGAGGAGGGAGAGAGUUGUGGCAGCUGAGCAAUCCGAAUAUAGUACUUUAAUAAGAAGGUUUGUAGAUUGGAGAACUUUGAGAGAUUUGGCAUUGGGUUGGGCAUCAGAAUGGGUACAGAGCAUGAUAUACAACUUUGGUGGCAUGGGAUACCACGAUAGUGAGCCACCCGUUGAAGAAGACGACAAUGGAGGAAACCACGAUAACGGAGACAAAGGUGAAGGAGAAAAUGGUAAUAAACCUAGGAAAAGAGGACAUUGAAACAUGGAAUCUCCAUGAAAACUAGAAACAUGCAUCUAUGAAUUAUUUUGUUUCCCACUUACUAUAUUAAAUAAAGUAUGAUCUAUUGUCAAUGGCGGAACUUGACUGAAAAAUUUGGAGUGGCUGACAUAAUUCACUCUCACAAAUUUUCCUCAUGAAAAAAUAAUCAAUUCUUCUACUUUUCUUCAUUCUCACAAACUUAUCUAAAUCAAUCAAUUCAAUAAACAUAAAACAUCUUAUAUUCAACAAAAAAAAAAAACAUUUUAUAUAGACAAAAAAACUCAAACAAAAAUGCAACAAAACUCAAACACCUUGUAUGCAAAAAAAAAAAUAAAAAAUCAAACACAUAAAAUCAAACACCUUAUGUGCGACAAAAAAAAAACUCAAACACUUUAUGUUGACAUAAACUCAAACACAUUAUGUGCAACACAAAAACUCUAAACAAAAAUCAGCUAAUUAAAACUCCAAAUCAAAAUUUCAAACUCUAAAUCAAAACUCUAAACUCAACAAUAACAAUAUAAGCUUUAAAUUUUAUGCUAACAAAUAUCAAACCUAACAAAAAUCGACACUAACUAACAAAAAUCAGCAAUAACAAAAUAGAAAUUCGAACAUUUUGAACAAAGCAGCAACAAGAUCUAGAGACAGAUGACUGAUGAGGUUGCGGCGAGUAGAGAGGCAGCGACGAAUGGCCACGGACAGAGGCAGUCAGGCAGACGAACGAUUGGCCGCAGCGAGCGAUUUCGUGAGCGAGCAGACGAGCGAUUGUCGUAGAGAGACGACCGCACGUUUGUCUUGAUUCAUGAAUCUGAUUAUGGAGGAGGGAGAGAGGAAGGCUGGAACUUGUAAGCAAAAGAGAGAGAGGGAGAGAGGAAGGCUGGAUGGAAGAGAG
rnacentral:lncRNA from 1 species